rnacentral:rRNA from 1 species
ACCUACCCUUAAGUGAGGAAUACCGGCGAGAAAUUGCCGAUAAGACCGCAUAGGCUUUCUCUGGUAGAGUGGGGAGAGCAAAGUUUCACUUGUUGAGAGUGAGACGCUUGAGGAUGGGCCUGUGGCCGAUUAGCUAGUUGGUGGGGUAAGAGCCUACCAAGGCGAAGAUCGGUAGCCGGCCUGAGAGGGCACACGGCCACACUGGCACUGAAACACGGGCCAG